rnacentral:rRNA from 1 species
UACGUAGGAGGCAAGCGUUGUCCGGAAUUACUGGGUGUAAAGCGCGUGUAGGCGGCAGGCCAAGUCUGUGGUGAAAUCGCUCGGCUCAACUGGGCGGGGUCCAUGGAAACUGGUCAGCUGGAGGACGGUAGAGGUGAGUGGAAUUCCCGGUGUAGUGGUGAAAUGCGUAGAGAUCGGGGGAAACACCCGUGGCGAAGGCGGCUCACUGGGCCGGUCCUGACGCUGAGACGCGAAGGCGUGGGGAGCGAACGGG